rfam:Coxiella burnetii RSA 493, complete genome.
AUGAAGAAAUCUCGGACAUCAACGGCCGAGAUUUCUUUCAUACUGAGGCGUUCAAUAGUAUUAAUACGUACUCGAAUUAUCACUGCCCGAUCGGCUAUCGCUUCUUUGCAUAUUAUCUUUUUGUUGAUCAUCGGGGUGGGGCGUUGUAACAGCGCCAUUUUGUCUAUCCUGAUGGGUGCGAUCCUGUUGUUGGCAAGCGGCCAAGCCGCCUACGAAGAACAGCAUCGUUACGAUUGUAAAUAA